GAUUCUAUGGUGCAAUUGGUUAGCGCGUCCGGCUGUUAAUUCUCACUUUACCUUCUAGUGAUUUGAGUUAAGUAUAUACCGGGAGGUUUAAGUUCGAGUCUUCCUAGUACCG